rnacentral:lncRNA from 1 species
ACCUGAACCAAUUCAUCCACCUGGCCCUGGCACUGGCCAGCAAAUACCAGCCUCGUGACUCGUUACUCAAAGGUGCUGUUAUGGAAGUGCUGCCUACCAUGUUCUAUGAAAAUUCGCACUCUGAAGAUACUCCACUUCAUAACUGUGGACACUUACUUGGCCCAAGGUAUUUCUCUCGGAAAUACAGAGAAACUGCUGUGUGUGCAGGUGCUACCUGGCCCUCUUUAUGUCACCUUGUGGGGAUUGAGCUUUGGAGAACCAGCACAAGAAAAUGCUGCUAUUCUGGCUAUUGCUAAUCUGCGAAAACAAGUAUGAACAAACUGUGCCUUAAAGCAGUCCAAUGUGAGAAAUGUGUUAUAAAUGACAGGAAUCUCUCAGAAGCAGCUGUUUCAGAGAUGAGGAUGUGCACUAGGAAAGCUCCCGUUCCUGCUGCCCCUGAGGCAUGUUCUUCUGUGAUCCCAUAAAGCUGGGAAACGUGUGUGGCAGAGCAUCAUUUUAAGCACUCAGAUGUGAUCCCACGUGUCUGAAUGGUUAUGUUUAAAAUUUUUUUUAAUCUCUGUAACAGCAGCUAACUUCUAUUUGAGCUAACUAUAAUUGCACUGUUUACCAGGAAAAUAUGAAUUUUGAUUGAGUUGGCUUUGUCAGAUUAAAAACACAAGUUAAAAAUACUCACAGAUAACUAUGAAAAAGG